AUUGGGGUGGCAGAGAUUAUGCGUCAGGUUUAAAAGUUGAAGACGAGUAGUAGUUUACUCUUCCAAUA
rnacentral:tRNA from 1 species